GACGAACCGUGCGAACGUUGUUCGGAAUCACUGGGCUUAAAGGGCGCGUAGGCGGCCGGGUUGGUCGUGGGUGAAAUCCCCCAGCUUAACUGGGGAAGGGCCUACGAUACUGCCUGGCUCGAGGGAGAUAGGGGUGUGUGGAACGUUCCGGUGGAGCGGUGAAAUGCGUAGAUAUCUGGAGGAACACCGGUGGCGAAAGCGGCUCACUGGACCGAAUCUGACACUGAGGUGCGAAAGCUAGGGUAGCAAACGGG
rnacentral:rRNA from 1 species